rnacentral:rRNA from 2 species
UACGAAGGGGGCUAGCGUUGCUCGGAAUUACUGGGCGUAAAGGGCGCGUAGGCGGAUGACUAAGUUGGGGGUGAAAGCCCGGGGCUCAACCUCGGAACUGCCUUCAAUACUGGUCAUCUUGAGUUCGGGAGAGGUGUGUGGAACUCCGAGUGUAGAGGUGAAAUUCGUAGAUAUUCGGAAGAACACCAGUGGCGAAGGCGACACACUGGCCCGAUACUGACGCUGAGGCGCGAAAGCGUGGGGAGCAAACAGG